rnacentral:lncRNA from 1 species
UAGGAGGCCACCAGAGAGACAGGAUUGCAAGGUUUUAAAUAUGCUAGUGUCAUGAGGUCAUGGAUUUCCUACCUGAAACAGAUAGUGUGACUGCCCUGCUAUAGCCAUGUUUGGCCAGUGUAGGAAUUUUGAGAACAGUGAACACUUAAUACUCAGAUGGCAUUUUGCCACCCCGACAAGGACCAUACCUGCCAUUCCAUUGUAGUUCGCCUUGCCCAGAAGUUUUAAAAUUUUUCUUUCAGCCUGGGAUUUCAAGUGUACUACAGCAUCCUCUUCACCUAUACAAGCGUCUGUUGUUUUAAAAGGAAACUGAGAUGGAGUCUCCCUAUGCUACCUAGGCUGGUCUCCAACUCCUGCACUCAAGUGUUCCUCUUGCCUCAGCCUCCCGUAAGUUAUAAAUUAGUUCAUGUGGGCUGCUCCUCAUAACCCUGCUCAAACACUACUGAGGCAUCAGGAUCUUCAAGAUUCAUAUGAGGAAACUGAAGCGAAAGAAUGUUGACUAAUUUUGUCAAGGUCACACAACUGGUAUAAAAUAAGUUCAACACUGGCAACCAUCUGAUAACCACAGAGAAAUGAGACUGAGGAUAAAACUAAUCUAAAGAGGAUACCAACGAAGCUGUAACCCUCCAGUUACAUAAACCAGUGUCCUGAGGGAGAAGCUGGUGCCCUUUAUCACACAGCUAACAACGCUCCUGGCCCAUGGAUCAGAGAAGUUGAAGGAAAAUACAGAGGAAGUUCUAACAGUGGCAGACCUAAUUACUGCACCAUGCCAAGCAGGUAAUCCAGCAGAAGAAAGGAAUGGAAUCUGAGCUAACCUACCAUGUUUGUACUGGAAGUCCUGCCAACAGCAUUUAAGGAGGCCUGCCUCUCCUGCAGUCAGGUGUGACCAAAGGAGUAUGAGUGAAAGUAAUGUGUGCCUCUACAAAACCUGACGCAUAUGAAGAAACAAACCAUCCAUCCACACCUGAUCCUUGUCUUCUCCAUCUGCCAGCUGAAUGGAGAGAAACAAAGAACUCCUGCUGACCCACACUGGACUAUGACAUGAGCAAGAAGCACACUUUUAUUAUGUUAAGCCACUAAUAUUUUGGGAUUAUUUGUUAGAGCAAUGGAAUCUAUCAUGAUGAAUACAUUUUUUAACAUUCUCAUAUCUUUUCUUUUUUUUUGGCUAAAAUUGAUCCAUAUUCUGCGUACUUGCUUUUGUCACUGAACAUCAUGUAAAUUUUUCCAAAUCUAUUAGUAUAGAGGCUACUCAUUCUUUUUAAUAGGGGUGUAAUAAUCCUAUAUGUAUUGCAGUAUAUAUUUAAUAUGUUAUUAUAUUCAAUAAUUAUGACAGAUGAGUAUUUCUUUGUUUUUAGAUUCUUACUUCUAUAAAUGAUGCUGCAAUAAAUAUUCUUAUACAUCCCCA